rfam:Sphingomonas sp. WG contig_90, whole genome shotgun sequence.
GCGCCCGUAGCUCAGCUGGAUAGAGCAUCAGACUACGAAUCUGAGGGUCGGACGUUCGAA